rnacentral:lncRNA from 1 species
UACCGUUCCUGUCUCAGCAGUGAGACCGCUGGUAUCAUCGCCCUUGUCAGCAUCAUUGUCAAUGUAAGAAGGAAUUCGACUCUUUUGGUGGAUGAUCCAAAAUCAGAAGAUUUGUGUGGAUCAUCCAGUGACCGUCGCCUUUGGACCACAGGCUGUCCCAGAAUCCUUGCAUGGAGAGAGAGAACUUGGAUAUGCAUCCGGCUGGCUUUGAGAAGAGAAAAUCUUGCUGACCUUGAUCAAGGUGGAUCUGAGGAGUUCCUAUUGUGGCACAGCAGAAACAAAUCCGACUAGUAUCCAUGAGGAUGCAUGUUUGAUCCCUGGCCUCGCUCAGUGGGUUAAGGAUCUGGCAUUGCUGUGAGCUGUGGUGUAGGUCACAGACGUUGCUUGGAUCUAGCGUUGCUGUGGCUGUGGCAUAGGCCAGCCACUGCCGCUCUGAUCCAGCCCCCAGCCUGGGAACUUCAUGUGCCGUGGGUGCAGCCCUAAAAAAAAAAAAAAAAAAAAAAAAAAAAAAAAAGAUGGAUCUGACUAUAAUCAAGAAGGCGUUUCCCCAUGAGCAGCUGUUCCACCUGUGUUCUCUGAGGUCCACACUGGCUGUCCUUGCCUGUAGGACAUUUUGCUCUAUUGCAUUUUUUCUGCAUGUGGAAGUACUAUAACGGCUAAGUGACAUUUCUGCCUCUCACCAUCCUUAUUUCCUUUGUGGGAACUUCCUUUCUCUUUUCUAUGUGUUUCCAGGGGGCUGCCAAUCAGGCCGCACUGUCCUCCAGUGCAGACCCGGACACCUGACCCAGGCUGGGCCAAAUCUAGUGCUACACCCCCCUUGCAUCUGCGCUUGCUCCAGGGGCUGCCAGAGUUGACAUCUCCUCUGUCCUCUGAUUGCAUUGAGAUGGAAAUUGCAGGUCACCAAGAGACAGACUAAUCAGAGUGUUUUGCUCUUUCUCCAUCUCUCCAAAAUCACAAUGCAAGAUUUUGCUCCUAUUGUUCCUAUUCCUACAUGAAGGUGGAUUCUUCAGUUGCUCUGAUGAGCACAGAUCCCUGGAGCCGGUAUGGUUUACCCAGUGACAGGGUCAGAUAACAAAACGUCUGCAAACAUGACCAGAAAACCACUUCAAAAGAUUGGAAUGUUAUGACCUUUUUAAUGCCUUAGGGCAGAAACAAGUCCUGUUUGUUCAUUUGUUUAUUAUCUUAUUUUAUCUUAUUUGGGACACCUAUAGGGCUUUUCAUUGAUCUUUCAUAGAAACAGACAUUGGUAGGAGUUCCCAUUGUGGCUCAGGGGGUUAAGAGCCUACCAUAGUGGGCAUCCAUGAGGAUGCAGGUUUGUUCCCUGCCCUUGUUCAGAGGAUUAAGGAUCCGACGUUGCCGCAAGCUGUGGUGUGGGUCACAGCUGCAGCUCUGAUUCGAUCCCUGGCCUGGGAACUUCCGUAUGCCACAUGUGUAGCCAUUAAAAAGGGGGAAAAAGAAUAAAGAAAGAAAAAAAGAAACUGACA